AGCUGAAAUCAUUAAAAGGGACCAAAUAAACUUUGUUUUUGUCAGUAAUGAUGGGAGAUUCAGAGACAAACUACAGAUGGACAAUCAAACUGGAUCUCUGACCAUCAGAAACAUCAGAUCUGAACACACUGGACUUUAUGAACUGACUGUUAUCAGUGGAGAAACCUCACUGAAGAGCUUCAGUGUUACUGUGUAUGCUCCUCUUCCCUCUCCUGUCAUCACCAGUAACUCUUCA